AUAUUUCUUGACGGUAAUCAUAAUUGCUUUCAGAUUCUCACUCAUCAGAUCGGUAAAUUGCAAAAUCGAGACAGGUGGACAGGGCAGGCUCGGAAUUCCUGACACAUCGGUUUGCGACGAGCAGAGUAGAUUCUCAUAGAUCGGUGGACAUCGAUGAAUAUUCAUUCCUUUGCCAUUUUUGAUGCAUUCUGCAUGUGCAUUUCGGCAAAAUUAUAGUUAUUUUUCCAACGAUUCUUAUUGAUGAUACUUAUCGAGAUAAGCCGAUUCCGGCAGCUUCCGACAUUAUACAUAAUAUAUAGAUACGCUGAUGUCUUCAGAUUUACAAACAGAACGAUAGUGAGGAACAACAGGAAAUUGUACUAAAGGAGAAAAAUGACAUAAGAUGCACUGACGUCUUCAGCUUUACGAGCAGAACACGAACGAUAUUGAGGAACAACAGAAAAUUGAACUAAAGGAGGAAAACGACAUAAGGUAAUUUUGAAUAUUUUAUCUAGCUCAAGCAUGGUGUAAAAUACAAUCGACAUACCAAAAUAGAUAUAAUGAUUGGUAUUCUUAUGACAAGAAAUAGUAAAGGGUUUUCAUGCGUGGUCCAGCAGAGAGUGUCUUCGAUAAUUGCGCGUAUUAUGACCCAUGGUACUACCACCAAGACGGGAAGACCUAUUUAAUAAAAUUAAAUUUGAAUAAGA